CAAGAUAAGAGUUUCCACUAUUAAAAAGAUUGACCUCUCAGUGUUGGUGAAGCUCCCAGACCGGCUGCCCUCUGCUUUCCUCCGUAAUGAGUUCUCCACCUUCAGGGGAAGCCCAGAGGAGCUGUAGGCCAGAGGGGGGAUUGUGUUGACCAGUAUCAGCUGCAGGGGUCUCCUCUCCUCAUGGUAGCGGCACUGCAUGUACCGGGCGAACGCGGCACGGUAAGUCUUGUUGAAGAGUGUGUAGAUGAACGGGUUGACCGCCGAUGAUAAAUAUCCAACCCAAACAAACACAUUCAUCAACCCGCCUACCAAAUCUUCAUCGCACACGGAGCCGCACACCACCGCCAUCACGUUCGUCACAAAAAACGGACACCACAUGAUCACAAAAAGUAGGAAAACCACGCCGAGCACUUUGGAUGCCUUCUGUUCAUUGCUGAUGGACUGCAUGGAUCGGCGUCCGGAUCCUCUGGAAGCUCCUUCUCGGCAGAUUGAUGAGCGUGAGAAGAGACGCUCAGAGGAAACUGAACCUCGAGGGAGGAGUCCAAUGGUGGACGACCAUGUUGGACGCACGAUGAGUUGGUCCAGGCACAAAGUCGCUUCGCUUUGUAGAGCACUGAUGGUGAGAAAGUAUGUGACGACCAUGAUGAUGAGCGGGACGAAAAACGCCACAAACGAGCCAAUCAGGACGAAAUUGUUGUCCGUAAGUUGGCAGCUUUCGUUGCGGAAGACUUUGGAGUGGUCAUGAAGGCCGAGGACUGGAACAGGCAUGGAGAUAACUUGAGACAGAUGGAGAGAAAAUGAGAGUGAGAAGACAGCUUUGGCAGGCCAGUGUUAAUGGAUGCAGACUCAGUUGUUUAGCAUUUCAGAAUUGAGCUGGAAAGUAAGGAUGCACCAAUGUGGAUUUUUUUAUAUUGAUGCUCAGGGACGGGCAAAAAUAAACUGAAAUGUAUUUUAAAUAAAACACCAAAUAGCUCAAUUUUACAUGUAUCAAAAUAAACUACAAAAUACAGCAGCCACAACAAGUAUCAAAAUAAAAGUUCUUGAUGAAAUUUCUUCUCAAACCUUCCAUCAAUAGGCAUAUUUGAUCAGUCUCUUCACCAUUAAACUGACUUAGUGAAGUUAACAGCAACAGCGUUUGAAAGUUUUAAGUCCACUGGUCCGCACCUUGUUCACCUCUACUCCUGUGAGACAAAAACACCUGAGUAGG
rnacentral:lncRNA from 1 species